CCUUAAACGCCAUAGUUUUGGAUACAGGUCCAUGGGGUGAGAUCGCUGACUGACAGAAGGAAGCUGUUCUCUGGGGUGUGCGUGACCCAAAGACCAAUGGAGGGAGGAAGAAUAGAUGCUCCAAAUGGCCACUGCACUUCUCCAAUGUCUGAAGACCAGCCUGAUCCUGCAGAACCAUUUGCUGUUGGAUUCCCCAGUGAACACCAGCCAUGAAACCAGAGCAUCUGAGUUUCCUCCUAAAUCAUUUCCAUGAAGAGGGGUGGCCUUCCCACUCCCGAUCCACACUCAGAAGAAUUGAUAGGAAAAAGGGACCCAUUUUCUCUGGAGAUAGCCUCCCUGUCGUCAAAUCAUUUUCACGUCUAUGAUUCCAUCUCAGCCUGAAAGAGCAGGAAGUCUUUGAAAAGAGAGAGGGGACAUCAUCAGAAGGAACCAGGUUCAGAGAGUUUCCCACAAACCACUCAGCCUGGCCCUCAACACCUACCCCAAGAUGGCAACAAAUCUCCAUGCCUGCCAUAGGUUGGCCAUUCAAAUUCACUCAACAAACCUGUCCUUGGAAUCCCUACCAUAGACUCGCUGGGAGGUUUACAGCAAGAUGUGAAGGAAUUGUCCCUGGCCUCCCACAGAUUAUAAUCUAGAG
rnacentral:lncRNA from 1 species